UCCCGGAACCUCACGGUCACGUAGCGCUCGGAGUCUCGGACCUGUGUGCGGGGCAGGGUAGGAGGUCCAGACAGUUCACCCAGGUUGCCAUUUCUCAGCUGGAGAAGGCUCCACUGUAGCUUCCUGGGGUAGCACUACUGUAGGGUCAGGGUGAUUUAACCAAGGUUGCCCUUGAAAUCGCCCGAUCCUGGAUCCUUAGGGAGCCCCGAUUGUUUUUUAUUUAUUUUCUGAGGGCGCAGGACAGGGGUUUCUUAUGUCUAAACCCAGGCUGGGGCCAGCCAGCCGAGCAUAAAAGUCAAAGGAUCUGUUGAGUAGUCGCUUCAGGCUCAACUGGGGACAAGACUUCGACUUGAGACCCCUUGUUUACAGCAUGUUUAAACCAAGCGAGACACAGGGUCUGGUCUGGAUAGGACUCCCCUGAGGCCAUCUCUGAUCCCGGAUGAAAGAAGAUCUGAAAGUAUCCGUCAUAUCGACAAAGCAAUCAUCGAAUGAGCAAGCAUUCACUGUCUGUGAGGUUCUGUGCUCACUGCUAAGCAACCAGAAAGGUCAAGUCCAGAUCUCUAUAAGGAGAUUUAAAACUAUUUGAAGCUCCACAUUCCCAAAUAGAAGCUAGGCCACCAGAAAAUGCUGAUGAAAACAAGCAAACGAACAGAGGAAAACGCCCUGGGUGGAAUUUGACAACGAGGGGGCCAAGGAGAAGGCACACAACUCUACCUCUCUGUGAUGUGGAAGCCAGUUGAGUGGGCCAACCUAGAGAUUUCCUAGCACGGGAGCCCCUGUGCUGUCGAUGAAGACCAUCUGCCCUGCCUCCUAGUGCUGUCCGUGUUGAUAGGCUGCUGAACUAGGGUUCUCCCUCCUGACCCCAAGCCACCAUGAAGAAGGCUUGGCGUGGGGCUGCAGGGUACCUGUUGG